GAUGAACGCUGGCGGCGUGCCUAAUACAUGCAAGUCGAACGCACAGCGAAAGGUGCUUGCACCUUUCAAGUGAGUGGCGAACGGGUGAGUAACACGUGGACAACCUGCCUCAAGGCUGGGGAUAACAUUUGGAAACAGAUGCUAAUACCGAAUAAAACUUAGUGUCGCAUGACACAAAGUUAAAAGGCGCUUCGGCGUCACCUAGAGAUGGAUCCGCGGUGCAUUAGUUAGUUGGUGGGGUAAAGGCCUACCAAGACAAUGAUGCAUAGCCGAGUUGAGAGACUGAUCGGCCACAUUGGGACUGAGACACGGCCCAAACUCCUACGGGAGGCUGCAGUAGGGAAUCUUCCACAAUGGGCGAAAGCCUGAUGGAGCAACGCCGCGUGUGUGAUGAAGGCUUUCGGGUCGUAAAGCACUGUUGUAUGGGAAGAACAGCUAGAAUAGGAAAUGAUUUUAGUUUGACGGUACCAUACCAGAAAGGGACGGCUAAAUACGUGCCAGCAGCCGCGGUAAUACGUAUGUCCCGAGCGUUAUCCGGAUUUAUUGGGCGUAAAGCGAGCGCAGACGGUUUAUUAAGUCUGAUGUGAAAGCCCGGAGCUCAACUCCGGAAUGGCAUUGGAAACUGGUUAACUUGAGUGCAGUAGAGGUAAGUGGAACUCCAUGUGUAGCGGUGGAAUGCGUAGAUAUAUGGAAGAACACCAGUGGCGAAGGCGGCUUACUGGACUGCAACUGACGUUGAGGCUCGAAAGUGUGGGUAGCAAACAGGAUUAGAUACCCUGGUAGUCCACACCGUAAACGAUGAACACUAGGUGUUAGGAGGUUUCCGCCUCUUAGUACCGAAGCUAACGCAUUAAGUGUUCCGCCUGGGGAGUACGACCGCAAGGUUGAAACUCAAAGGAAUUGACGGGGACCCGCACAAGCGGUGGAGCAUGUGGUUUAAUUCGAAGCAACGCGAAGAACCUUACCAGGUCUUGACAUCCUUUGAAGCUUUUAGAGAUAGAAGUGUUCUCUUCGGAGACAAAGUGACAGGUGGUGCAUGGUCGUCGUCAGCUCGUGUCGUGAGAUGUUGGGUUAAGUCCCGCAACGAGCGCAACCCUUAUUGUUAGUUGCCAGCAUUCAGAUGGGCACUCUAGCGAGACUGCCGGUGACAAACCGGAGGAAGGCGGGGACGACGUCAGAUCAUCAUGCCCCUUACGACCUGGGCUACACACGUGCUACAAUGGCGUAUACAACGAGUUGCCAACCCGCGAGGGUGAGCUAAUCUCUUAAAGUACGUCUCAGUUCGGAUUGUAGUCUGCAACUCGACUACAUGAAGUCGGAAUCGCUAGUAAUCGCGGAUCAGCACGCCGCGGUGAAUACGUUCCCGGGUCUUGUACACACCGCCCGUCACACCAUGGGAGUUUGUAAUGCCCAAAGCCGGUGGCCUAACCUUUUAGGAAGGAGCCGUCUAAGGCAGGACAGAUGACUGGGGUG
rnacentral:rRNA from 1 species